CGCUGGCGGCGUGCCUAACACAUGCAAGUCGAACGGGGUAAUUACUUCGGUGAUUACUUAGUGGCGAACGGGUGAGUAACGCGUGAGGAACCUGCCUCUCAGUGGGGGACAACAGUUGGAAACGACUGCUAAUACCGCAUAACGCAGCGAGACCGCAUGGUCUUGCUGUCAAAGCUUUAUGUGCUGAGAGAUGGCCUCGCGUCUGAUUAGCUAGUUGGCGGGGUAACGGCCCACCAAGGCGACGAUCAGUAGCCGGUCUGAGAGGAUGAACGGCCACAUUGGGACUGAGAUACGGCCCAGACUCCUACGGGAGGCAGCAGUGGGGAAUAUUGGGCAAUGGGGGAAACCCUGACCCAGCAACGCCGCGUGAAGGAAGAAGGCCUUCGGGUUGUAAACUUCUUUUACCAGGGACGAAGAACGUGACGGUACCUGGAGAAAAAGCCACGGCUAACUACGUG
rnacentral:rRNA from 1 species